rnacentral:rRNA from 1 species
UACGUAGGGGGCAAGCGUUGUCCGGAUUUAUUGGGCGUAAAGAGCGUGUAGGCGGCUAUACAGGUCCGUUGUGAAAACUCGAGGCUCAACCUCGAGACGCCGAUGGAAACCGUAUGGCUAGAGUCCGGAAGAGGAGAGUGGAAUUCCUGGUGUAGCGGUGAAAUGCGCAGAUAUCAGGAAGAACACCUAUGGCGAAGGCAGCUCUCUGGGACGGUACUGACGCUGAGACGCGAAAGCGUGGGGAGCGAACAGG